rnacentral:rRNA from 1 species
UACGGAGGGUGCAAGCGUUAUCCGGAAUCACUGGGUUUAAAGGGUACGUAGGCUGUUAGUUAAGUCAUCAGUGAAAGGCCGUCGCUUAACGAUGGGAAUGCUGAUGAAACUGGCUAGCUAGAAUUGAGUUAAGGUAGUCGGAAUGGAUCAUGUAGCGGUGAAAUGCAUAGAUAUGAUUUAGAACACCGAAAGCGAAGGCAGGCUACUGAGCUUUUAUUGACGCUGAGGUACGAAAGUGUGGGUAGCGAACAGG